CAUUCACUCUCUCUAUAUUAGCUUCUGCGUUCUCUAAUCCGUGCUUUCCCCUCACCUUUUUUUUUUUUUUAAUCCCUUCUUUGCUUCUUAGAAGAGCAAACCCAGACAGAGCCAUGCCAAAAUAAACCAAAAUAAAAACUGUUUUUAUGACAUUUUUUUUUACAUGUUUUUGUUUUAUCUUCCAUCAUCAUCAUAGCAGUAAUUUUUGUGUCCAAAUUUGGUUUUGAAGCUUCAGGUUUUGGAAUGGUUUUCUUUUUUGAUUGGGAAAGAAUUGAGUGGCAUAUGGUUCAGGUGAUACAGCAGCAGCUGGGGAAAUCUAAAAAGAGAUAGUGAAGAGAAUUAUGAAGAUAAUAAAGGGUUUUAUGGUGAGUUGGUUUUGGAUUAAGGCUUUGGGGUCAUUGGGGGAGUGAUUAAGGAGAAAACCCUAAGUCUUUUUCCUACUCAUUCUCAUAUCUAAAAUGGGUUUCCAGAAAAGAUUAAAAAUGAUAACAGAUCUGCACUGAAAGGAGUGAUCUAAUCUCUGUAUAAAGCAGCAGUAGGGGGUUUAGCUUUAUCUUUUUCCCAUUUAGAGGAUUGCUAUGAUUUCACUUUUUGUUUUCACUUUUUGGCCAUUUAUACCAGCGCAUUUUAGCUAAUGAUGGUAAGAAGUGGAUAAUAAGAGAGGGACACAAAGAGAGACUGACAGAAGAGAGUGAGCACACACAGGCAAUCGUAUGGAAGUCACACCUUUGCCGGUGUGUGCUCACUUCUCUUCUGUCAGUUAUUCAGCUUUGCACUUUGUUCCCUCAACAAAUCACAAUAUUUAUUUGUUAAUUAUAUAAAUAUCCCUCGCUGCUUCUUCUUCUUCUUCUUCAAUCUCCAGAUGACACCUCACAGUAUCGAUUUUGCCAGAUGUUUUUGUUUUUGUUUACAUCCGUCCACAUGUCAUUCGCUCUGGAACUCUCUUUCUUUUCGGAUAAGAAAUAGCUACUGAUCACAAACAAGUACACGAGAAAAAGAAAAGAGAAAAAGAGAUAAGAACGCAGGGUUUUUUGUUGUUAAAACAUCAUCAAAUGGUACCUUUUCUACAAACCCUCUGAAACCUUUUCGUUUGAUUGAUCAGACAGAGAUUGAAAUCCUCAUAUUUAUGUGGGUGAGAUAAGUCAAUAAAUAAGAGAGUUGGCAAAGAGUAAGAUUCUUUGCUUUUUUGGGGGGGUUAUCAUUUAUCAACAAUACUUACUAUUUUCUGUGCCUUUUAGUAUUCCAUUUUGCGUUUAAAUUUUGCUGCUCUUGUUUUUGGGAAUAUUUUAUGCUAUUCAAAUAACAAGAAUUUUGUGAUGGUGCUUUAAAAGAAAGCGUGACUUUUGAUGGUCCUCUCUUUGAAGAGGACGAAGUGGCUUCUUCGAUGGUACGCCUACUCGCUGUUCCCAUUUUAACGGAAACCUUACCGGUAUCUCGGAAUUUUUUUUCAUUCACGUUCUCAUUUUUUUUCCUUGGUUUAAAACCCUUCUUUUCCUCUUCAUCUUCAUCUUAAUCUUCCUGUUUUCUUGGAGUCCUGCAAGGUAAAGGCUGUCUUUGACUUGUGUUCUUAGUUUCUUAUCUUUAAUCUGGCUCUGAUUUUGGGUUUUUUUUUGUUUGUUUGUUUUCUUCUGGUAUUCCUGAGUUUUGACCCCAAUACAAGCUGAUAAUUUUUGGAUUUUUAUUCAGAUAUAUAUAUAUAUAUUUAAUUUUAUUGUCGAACUAUGGAAGCUUUUAACUAUAUUUGGGCUUUCCCAAGGUUUUAGAUCUGGUACUAUUGGCUACUUUCUUUGCAGUUACUGAAAAUCUUGGGCCACUCUACUCCUUAUGGUAGAAUGGGAAGUCAUCUUUUUCUUAUUUUCUGCUAAAAUAUGCACUAUUUCCUUUUCAUCUUUGAAAGAAUGGUAGCAGAAAAUUUCCUAAUGCAGCACCUUGUUUGGAAUUGGGAGGCAAUGAACUGUUUCAAUUUUGCACUGUUUAAUCAAUAAUCAUCCAGAAUCAUAAUGGGAGAACGAAAUGUUCAACAUGAAUUGUAACUCGCAAUUCUCAUGGAAGCAUCUGCGUAAUUCAUCCAUGAAAUUCGAAGGUAAUAUGGAAUUUGCAUGGUGCAACAUCACUACUGAAAAAGAAAACCUCUCUGAAUGCUCAUUUCUAUAAUGACUGCUACAAACUAUUCUUUUAGGACAAACCGGUGUUGGUAAGGCAUUUCAUGUCGGCAAAAGAUGUGCUGGAACAUACUACUUUACCCCAGUUCUGGGGAUGGGACGAGAUCUAACAUGUCGAUUUUUGCAAUAAAUUUUAUGAUGGCUAUAGCAGUCGAAAUUAUGUGUUCAUGACAGGGUCGAAGGUGGUUUAUGAGAUGUAGAGGUGGAAGAUGUUCAUCAUGAUUGAUGCUUUUCAAGUGUGAAAGUAAAUAGUCAAAACUUUGUUACUUUUAACAUUGUUUCCUUUUUAUUAGUACUUGUCUAUUAGUAGUAUUUAAUUAUAGAGACUUGAAGUGAAACACGUAUGUGCUUGUGAAAAAUGAAAUCCUUGAUAAUUACUUGAUGAACUUUUGUGUUUCUCUUUUACAUUGUCUUCUGUGGAUUAGAGAAGGGAUUGUAUAUACUGUAAGAAUGAUAGUAUGAACCAAUUAAGUUAAACUUCAAGUGUAUAACUUGAUGCGUUUUGAUUGUGAUUGUUUCUUACCAACAUUACUUUUUUUCCCUACUAGCAAUUAUUUUGUGACUGGAGUUUGGGGUUUGGAAAGGCAUAGGAAAGGCUGAGCCACGCCCUUCCAUCCUAACAUUCUUCUUGUCUCUUGUAGUUUUGCCUUAGUUAUUU